rnacentral:lncRNA from 1 species
UUUAUUCAUAAAAAUACCAAAAAAUAUUUUUUGCACUCUUUAAUGUUUUAUUUAAUUUAUCUAAUUUUUACAUUCUUAUUUUAUUUAACGUUAAUAUUUUAAAUUAAUUAUUUGUUUCAAAUAGUCCAUUUUAACACAUAUUUUUUCAUUUAUUUUAUUUUCAUGACUUAGGAUUAUUUUUAAUUUCUGAUUUUUGGGAUGAGGGUUGACCUGUGUCUCAUGGUCAACCUGACCUUUUAUUGGAAUUU